AUUGAACGAUGGCAGCAGGCCUAACACAUGCAAGUCGAGCGAGCGGCGGACGGGUGAGUAAUGUAUGGGGAACUGCCUGAUGGAGGGGGAUAACUACUGGAAACGGUAGCUAAUACCGCAUACCAUCAGAUGAACCCAUAUGGGAUUAGCUAGUAGUUAGGGUAACGGCUUACCAAGGCGACGAUCCCUAGCUGGUCUGAGAGGAUGACCAGCCACACUGGAACUGAGACACGGUCCAGACUCCUACGGGAGGCAGCAGUGGGGAAUAUUGUACAAUGGGCGAAAGCCUGAUGCAGCCAUGCCGCGUGUAUGAAGAAGGUCUUCUGAUUGUAAAGUACUUUCAGCUGGGAGGCGUUACCCGCAGAAUAAGCACCGGCUAACUCCGUGCCAGCAGCCGCGGUAAUAC
rnacentral:rRNA from 1 species